UACGUAGGUGGCGAGCGUUGUCCGGAUUUACUGGGCGUAAAGAGCGCGCAGGCGGUCGUCCAAGUCGCGUGUGAAAGCCCCCGGCUCAACUGGGGAGGGUCACGCGAUACUGAUCGACUCGAAGGCAGGAGAGGGAAGCGGAAUUCCCGGUGUAGUGGUGAAAUGCGUAGAUAUCUGGAGGAACACCGGUGGCGAAGGCGGCAUCCUGGACCGGUAUUGACACUGAGGCGCGAAAGCCAGGGGAGCAAACGGG
rnacentral:rRNA from 1 species